UUAAAAAGCUCGUAGUUGAAUUUCGGGGUCAGUAGGUCGGUCGUGCCACUGGUAUGAACUGGUUUUACUGAUUCCUCCCUCUUGAAGAACUGUAAUGCCAUUAAUUUGGUGUUGCAGGGAAUCAGGACUGUCACUUUGAAAAAAUUAGAGUGUUUAAAGCAGGCUUUAGCUUGAAUACAUUAGCAUGGAAUAAUGAAAUAGGACGUUUGAUCCUAUUUUGUUGGUUUCUAGGAUUGACGUAAUGAUUAAUAGGGAUAGUUGGGGG
rnacentral:rRNA from 1 species